AGAGUUUGAUCCUGGCUCAGGAUGAACGCUGGCGGCGUGCUUAACACAUGCAAGUCGAACGGGAAAUAUUUCAUUGAGACUUCGGUGGAUUUGAUCUAUUUCUAGUGGCGGACGGGUGAGUAACGCGUGGGUAACCUGCCUUAUACAGGGGGAUAACAGUCAGAAAUGGCUGCUAAUACCGCAUAAGCGCACAGAGCUGCAUGGCUCAGUGUGAAAAACUCCGGUGGUAUAAGAUGGACCCGCGUUGGAUUAGCUGGUUGGUGGGGUAACGGCCCACCAAGGCGACGAUCCAUAGCCGGCCUGAGAGGGUGAACGGCCACAUUGGGACUGAGACACGGCCCAGACUCCUACGGGAGGCAGCAGUGGGGAAUAUUGCACAAUGGGGGAAACCCUGAUGCAGCGACGCCGCGUGAGUGAAGAAGUAUUUCGGUAUGUAAAGCUCUAUCAGCAGGGAAGAAAAUGACGGUACCUGACUAAGAAGCCCCGGCUAACUACGUGCCAGCAGCCGCGGUAAUACGUAGGGGGCAAGCGUUAUCCGGAUUUACUGGGUGUAAAGGGAGCGUAGACGGUGUGGCAAGUCUGAUGUGAAAGGCAUGGGCUCAACCUGUGGACUGCAUUGGAAACUGUCAUACUUGAGUGCCGGAGGGGUAAGCGGAAUUCCUAGUGUAGCGGUGAAAUGCGUAGAUAUUAGGAGGAACACCAGUGGCGAAGGCGGCUUACUGGACGGUAACUGACGUUGAGGCUCGAAAGCGUGGGGAGCAAACAGGAUUAGAUACCCUGGUAGUCCACGCCGUAAACGGUGGAUGCUGGAUGUGGGGCCCGUUCCACGGGUUCCGUGUCGGAGCUAACGCGUUAAGCAUCCCGCCUGGGGAGUACGGCCGCAAGGCUAAAACUCAAAGAAAUUGACGGGGGCCCGCACAAGCGGCGGAGCAUGCGGAUUAAUUCGAUGCAACGCGAAGAACCUUACCUGGGCUUGACAUGUAAUGAACAACAUGUGAAAGCAUGCGACUCUUCGGAGGCGUUACACAGGUGCUGCAUGGCCGUCGUCAGCUCGUGUCGUGAGAUGUUUGGUUAAGUCCAGCAACGAGCGCAACCCCUGUUGCCAGUUACCAGCACGUGAAGGUGGGGACUCUGGCGAGACUGCCCAGAUCAACUGGGAGGAAGGUGGGGACGACGUCAGGUCAGUAUGGCCCUUAUGCCCAGGGCUGCACACGUACUACAAUGCCCAGUACAGAGGGGGCCGAAGCCGCGAGGCGGAGGAAAUCCUAAAAACUGGGCCCAGUUCGGACUGUAGGCUGCAACCCGCCUACACGAAGCCGGAAUCGCUAGUAAUGGCGCAUCAGCUACGGCGCCGUGAAUACGUUCCCGGGUCUUGUACACACCGCCCGUCACAUCAUGGAAGCCGGUCGCACCCGAAGUAUCUGAAGCCAACCGCAAGGAGGCAGGGUCCUAAGGUGAGACUGGUAACUGGGAUGAAGUCGUAACAAGGUAGCCGUAGGGGAACCUGCGGCUG
rnacentral:rRNA from 1 species